rnacentral:lncRNA from 1 species
ACAUGAAUGUAUCACAAAAUAAAAGUAAUAGGGAAAAUAUAGCCAUAUAAGUAAUAUCCUUUGGUAUUAGGAUAAACACGACAUCGCGACUGCCGAAACGUUCUCAUCAUGAAUAUCCGUAGAUGUUCAUUUUCCUCUGUAGCUAACAGCAGGUGGAAGGAAUGGUUAGUUCCUUAAAUGUCUUCCUAAUAUAAGUAUUAACCAUAGAUAUCCGUAGAUGAUCAUUACCUCUGUUGCUAACAGCCGGGUUUAGGAAUGGUUAGUCCCUUAUUGUUUCUUACCACAUAGUAUCUAUGUAAAAGUAUCCCUAUAAGUGUAUCCAUGUAAGAAGAAUCUCUGUUAGAGUAUCCAUAUAAAUGUAUCCAUAUAAGAGGAAUCUCUGUAAGAGUAUCCCUUCACAUAGCAUGUAGUCUAGACUCAUGAAUGAAUUGACUCUGGUGUAAUUUCUAGUAAUAGGGAUAAUGUUUUGUAUCCCCGAAACUAUUCCUAUAAUAGUUUACUAGAAUGUAAUUGAUGAGUGUCCAAGUAGGUUUAUACACCCUUGCUACCCAAGAGUGCCGGAACUGGAUUAACUGAUGGAACAUUUAUGACUAUAUAUGUACAUAUGAUAUAUAACUAAUAUUUAAACGACCUUCGGACGAGUACCCGAUAUCCCAUCAGACCACAUCCAAAUCGAGGAAAAGGAAACAGGGUGGAUAGCCUUCCUAAGUCUUUUAAACAUUUCUUAUAUAACUAUACUUAUAGAGGCAUGCAAUUUAUAAUAUAAAAGCAUAAAAGAAGUUUUGUAAAAGCUUUGAAAAGUUUAAUAAAUGAGAAUUUAUGACUUGAUGUCAGUUUAUAAAUCGAAUCGAAAACCGUUUAACAAAACAUUUUAAGUGUGAGAAAACCUUUGUUUGAAGCACAUCUAUAACAGAUUCAAAAGGAAACGUAUAGUUUGUAAGACAGUUUCUAAAAGUAUUUCAACAUGUAAAAACGAUUGAGAAAACUAUUUGAAGUACACAUGAAAACGUUCUUUUGUUCUUGUAUAUGAAUGUAUCUCCUUGAAAUGGUAUAUCUAGUAUGUAAAAGUUCAUGAUGUUCUCGUAAAACUAUACCUAUUAUAGUUUUCUAAAAGUGUGUCUUGUUGGUAUAGUAAUCCCUAGUGAAACGCUCACUUGUUAUGAAAAGCGUAAUUUUUGUAGUGCCUAAGAUGGACACAUAUACUUACAGUAUAAGCAAGGUUUUGAUAUAUAUAUAUAUAUAUAUAUAUAUAUAUAUAUAUAUAUAUAUAACAANNNNNNNNNNNNNNNNNNNNNNNNNNNNNNNNNNNNNNNNUAUAUAUAUAUAUAUAAAACAACAUUUAUCAUUUCAAAAGAUAUGAUGUUAUCAUGAUAUAUUUUGCAUAUGAAAGUUUCCUUAUAAUAGUUAUAAAUCACAUAUGAUUCCGUUCAUAAAAAGUGUAUAAUGAAACUUUAUAUAACACACUAUAAUAAUCGUGUGUUUUACUUGUAUUCCCCCAUAAAAGCAUAUAAAAACAUUUAUAAAACAUUUAAAAGUGGAGAUUAUAGGGGUAUGAACUCACAUGAUUGAUCGAAGAAAGUGAGACGAAAACCGAGCAAAACUUCUACUCGAGAAAGCAGAUUUCUUGGGAUUCUCAGGAAUCUCAGGAGCGUAAAACUUCCUUCCAAACAUGGAUAUUAAAAUCGGGCCUUUGGGAUGCCUCUGAGGAUUGAUACGCGGAUCUUCGGUGCGAGAAAGGAAAGAAUUGAGCAAAAAAGGCCGACAUCCUCGCAUCCUUUAUAUAGGGUCUGAAUCCCUAGCGUACGCUGGGCGUACGAGGGUACGAUGGGCGUACGCAACGUCAUGCAUGAGCGCAUCCUCGGUUGAAGCAUCAGAGCGACGUGGACGAGAUGGAGCCUAGCAUCCGAGUACACUGGGCAUACGAUGGUACGUUGGGUGUAACUUGGAUUGGUCCGAUGACUCCUCCUUCGGAUAAUACCGGAUUUUGAAUUAAAUUUAUAUUUUAAUUAUUUAGUAAACUUCAAAAAUUCAUAUCUUCCUCAUAUGAACUCCGUUUUCGACGUUCUUUAUAUCCACGCGAAGGUGAGACUACGAUCUUCAACUUUUGUUUAGACUCCAUCAGCAAAUCUUGAAUUUAUUUUUAAUAUUAUAUUGUAAUAGGUCGGGACAGGAAAAGUCCGUUAAAGUUCCACAACUUCUUCAUCCAACGUCCGUUUCCGUUAGACUUUUUACCGUUGCGCUUCNAGACCGUCGACUCAUUUAGUUUGUGUCGGCUAAAAGUCUCUUGAUCUCCAUUUCGAGUUUUUAGCUGUCUACUGCUAUAUCCGUAACUUAAAAAAAAUCAUAACUUCCUCAUACGAAGUGAGAAUUGGACGUUCUUUUCAUGUACACUUACGUUUUAAUGAUAUCUAACACUUUCAUUUAGAUACCUAAGGCUAAAAAUUAUUGUAUUGAGACUUCAUAUUUUACGUCUAUCAGUGUUGCCGGCUUUGCCGAGAAUCUUCGGUUGGUCAUAACUUCUUCGUUAUAAUUCGGAUUCUAGGGUUCUUUAUAUGUACGAAAACCUUGAUACAAUUCCGACUACUUUAUUUAACCCAAAUAAGAUUUUGGGAAAGUUAAAUUUUGACAUAAGUUUGACUUGUGAUCCAUCAUAUUGUCUCAAAAUCUCGUGUUGUCACAUCAUCCCCCCGUUAGAGGGAAUUUCGUCCCGAAAUUUGAGUUUAAACAGAAUUGAUAACCAUGCUACGGUUAGAAGUUUUAUUUGCUUCUAGUGUUCUUAAGUGAACUCGGUUGCUCGCUUGGCAUUCCAGAGAACCUUUCACUAUCGCGAUACGACUUUGAUUCUUUCGUUUAACUUCACUGACAUGAUAACUCUUCUUGGUCGAACAUACGUUGAAUGUUUUUGUGGACUGUGAGAAUAUUACAUCUUGUACCCCAAAACUAGUGUCUCCAGAUCUUCAAAGAAAUUACCGUUGCUCCUGACUCAAGAUCAUGUGUUGUAUAGUUAACUUCCUGUGUCUUAAGCUGUCUUGAGGUAUAGGCAGUGACCUUUCCUCUUGCAUAAGAACACAACCAAUUCAUACUGAUUAUGACAUCAGAACCUUGUGGUUGAUUAGGUGUCAUGAAGAUCUAAAAGAAAGUAUGAUUACUCAUGAAUUAAGGAAAAAGGAUAGGUACUUUUGUUCUAUCUGUCUCUCUUGUCCCAAUCGAUAGGAAGGGCAUGUGUUUGGCUUCAAACUUUAUUCUCAUGGCAGCAAGAUCACUCGUAGUCUUGGGCAGUCUUCGUCCUGAAGUUCAUAUUACACUUCAUACAUGGUUCAACAAUCACAAUCUCGUGUAUACGAGUCGUAUAUAAUUAAGAUUGAAAAGGUAGUCGAAUAAAUGAUUCAUCUUUAAGCUCACAUCCCAUCGAGGAAAGAGAAGUUAAAGUGGAAUCGUCAAUUCCAAACCUGUAGAACCUUGAUUAUAUAUCACCCUUAUGUAUACAUUCAUCAACAACAGAUCAACCGUAUGGAUCUUUGGAUUUGAACUUGACGUACUGUACGAGUGGCACUUCAGGGAUUUCUUCGGAAAGGAAAAGAACUAUGAGGUACUCCAUUCAUGAGUACUUGGUGUUCUGAUAUGACGGCUUCGCUGGAAAGGCGAUUUCGAAGAAAGAGAUGUAUGUAUGAAGCUGUUUUUGUGAGAAUCAAAUUGAAUCAAGUCGUAUGAUAAUUUUGGAAUCAUAAGGAAACUUAAACACAUUAGAUUAGAACAUAAGACGUUUACAGACAAAACACAACCAUGCAACCUUCAACAGAGUUACAGUACUUUAGACUACUACAAGACUAUUGCUACCAAUAAGGUAUACUACAAAAGGCAAGUAUACGAAGCAUGAGUAUCCCUAUACCGACGGGAUCCCGCAAAAGUUAAGACUCUGGUUGCAUUAGUUUUGGAUGGUUUAUAAGUCUGUUCCAACGAAACGCCUAAAUUACAUUAACGUGGGUUCGAGGUAGGUUCUCCUGUAACUGUGAUCAUGAGAAUCCUACCGUCUACGCCAGAGUUCUUUGUUAUAUGGCAAUCCUUCUUGAGGUGCCCUAUCUCCCCGUAUUGGUGGCAUGACUUGUUAGUGCUAGCCUUGGUGGCGGGGGGGAGGGGUUUAGCCAGUGUUAUGUGGNUCUUGGAAAUUGCUUCCUAAAGUGUUCUGCAGGAGUUGCCACUUGUUGGUUUCCCGGUUUGGUACUACCAUCGGAACUCUCGACUCCUUUGUCGGUCUUUCUUGUGUUGCCUGAGUUGAUGUGUGUAAGGAAAGUUGUCACAGCAACUACUACUGUAGCUUGUAAUGUAGCGGCGUCGAUAUGGAGGAUAGGGGUUUCAUUGCUCGGCUGAUUGCUUCCGGAUGACGAGAUGAUUCUGUAACACAAAAGAUAAAGAUUUUGUGGGCGAUUCUGGUUGACUCUAGAUGUACUUCGAUUGUUCAAGUAAAGAGUAAGACUAGUUUCUCGAAAGUUUGACCUACAUCCCUAUGAUGCAGUCCUAGUACGCAUUGGAAGUAUGUUUAUGAAGGGUUGACCUACAUCCCUAUGAUGCAGUCCUAGAAAUGAGUGGAAUUAAGUUCAUAGAAUGGUCUCAAGACUCUUGUCGUUCAAGUCGAGGUAUCGUAGGUUGGUGAAUAACAUGAUCCAACCACUAAAAGAGAUUUGGAGAUGUUUUCCGGAGCUAAAUUACUAUAGUCCAAUGAUUUGACUAAAGCAUGUUUCUGAUAGACUCCAAUGAAAGUAUGAUAAGAGUACUUGAAUAAAGAAUGACACAGAAGUUAGUCGACUUUCAAUAUCAUUGAUAUUCAUGACGUAAAAGUUCGGGAAAAAUGACCUUGUAAAAGGUCUUACAUCAUAUCCACAGAAGAUAGUUCUUGACAUCAUAAAGACCUAACCAAAUGUACUUACAGUACAAGAUAGUUUCAUAGAAAAUGGCACAUCGGGCAUAGACAAAAAAUGAUUCCUUUUUACAAGGAAAAUAAAGUAAGGCAUUUACUACUGGAGACGAUCACCCUUAUCGUAAACCCUUAGUUCAGCUAGUUGACGUUCUAUAUCAAGCAGACAUCUUUCAUACACCUUAUGGCGUACUUGGAGCUUUAUGACUUCGGCUCGGGUUUCAGCUAGUUCUUGCUGCAGGGUCUCAUGAUUUCUCUCGGAUCUCUCACCUGGGAUCAAGGUGGUUGGAGCGAAUGGUAUGCAUUCUGGCAUUGGCAUUAAUCUCUUAGAUACAUUGGAGAGCCGUCCUGCCCUGAAUUUCGUUUCGGGCAACUCUGCGGCCGGACUUGGAAGAAUUCUGUCUGCUGAGCUUCCUUCACUUGUGUUUUAGAAGCUUCGGUCUCCAUCAAAUGACAUAGGUUGAUCUUGCUCUUCGCUCCCUAUCUCCAAACAUUCUACCCAAGGGUGCGUCGGGCCAUGAAAAGCCGGUCGAGGGUUAGGAAUUGGAACGGGAGAUGCUUGUGGUAGGUUCUCAACCUUGGGUUCGGAGUUGUCAACAUUCGAAAGGUUUUCAGCAUGGUGAUCCUUCAAAGGGAUUGGAUGAUCACUUUCUAGUUCUUCUUCAAACCAUCCAACAACACCUUUGUUCUGAAGGUACGGUUUGCCGUGGGGAUGGAGUCCAGUUAUGUUAUCUACAUGAGAAUUGGGGUAAGGAAAUAAUUAUUAGACGAACUAUCUAGAUAAUUAUUAGAAAAUCUUCAUUAGUUACAUCUCUAUUUGUAAAGUGCAUACCUGUCAUAUGUAAUCAACACAGGAUAGGCUUUCGAAUAAGCGAGCUUAACUCCAAAUUCACAAGGAAUAAGGGUAAAGCAAAAACUUCACCGAUUCUAAGUCUAUAACAUCCUAGGUACAUAUAGCCUUAAUGUACCCACUUAGCAACUAUCAACUUAGAAAUGAAGAUCCUUUUUAGUUCUCAAGUAAGUAAUUAUGGUAACGCAAAACACCCCUAUGGUAUUUUAGACUUAGGUUCUGCUAUAAUGUUCUCAUUGUGGUAAUGUUGGUAAGUUUUUAGAAUUGUUGCUACAUCACAACCAUUCUUGGGCAUACGCUAAUCACUCCUCGGACAUGCAUAGUUGAUCAGGCUAUGUCACUCCCAAGACUGACUAUACAUCCCCAUGCUUACUUGUGAUAUUCAACAAUUGUAAUACUUUUGUUCUUAUCAUUGUGACACCGAUUUUAGUAUGAAUGCAGACACAUAUACUUACUUAAAUAUUUUAUUAUUUUAGAAGUAUAAACUCUAAGUCAGAGUAUUUUAAUCCCAUUGUAUUUAUAGUUAGUAUAUAUUUUAUGGGUUGAUAUACCCAAUUCACUAUAAAUAAUGCUCUGAUACCAAUCUGUCACACCCCAAAACCGAGAACGGCGGAAACGUUCUGGGGCGGAGGACGUCAUGUAUCUAUCACAAAUAUGUAAAGUAGUAAACAAGCAACAACAUCGUCCAUUGCAUUAAUAGUAAUAGUUUAAUACAUGUGUGUUCUGUCAUAGAAAUAAGACAUUACAACAAGUAAUCAAAAUAAAAGACAAGUCUUGACUGUUUCGUCUUCGCAAAACUUGGUCAUCGUACCUGUCUACUGGUGACCUGAGAAUACAAGUUAUUUUGAAAGUGUAGAUCAGCAUUUAAGCUGGUGAGUUCAUAAGUAUUUAAUGUCAUUGUUCGUAUAAGUUUGAUGAUAACAUUUGAAAUCGUUCAAUGUAAUUUGUUGUAUAUGUUUUGAAAAAUCCUAGAAAAUCCCAUAUUUUCUACUAGUAUAAAAAGUAGUCUUCUAGCAAGACCUGAAUGUUUUGAAAGUAGUCUUCUACCAAGACUUGUAUGUUUCGCUGUAACAAAGAUGGUUUUCCCCUUUAUGACUACUAUUAACAAUAUAUAUAGUCUACUUCAUCGUUUAUGUGAAUGUAUCACAAAAUAAAAGUAAUAGGGAAACUAUAGCCAUAUAAAUAUUAUCCUUUGGUAUUAGGAUAAACACGACAUCGCGACUGCUGAAAUGUUCUCACCAUGAAUAUCCGUAGAUGUUCAUUUUCCUCUGUAGCUAACAGCAGGUGGAAGGAAUGGUUAGUUCCUUAAAUGUCUUCCUAAUAUAAGUAUUAACCAUAGAUAUCCGUAGAUGAUCAUUACCUCUGUUGCUAACAGCCGGGUUUAGGAAUGGUUAGUCCCUUAUUGUUUCUUACCACAUAGUAUCUAUGUAAAAGUAUCCCUAUAAGUGUAUCCAUGUAAGAAGAAUCUCUGUUAGAGUAUCCAUAUAAAUGUAUCCAUGUAAGAGGAAUCUCUGUAAGAGUAUCCCUUCACAUAGCAUGUAGUCUAGACUCAUGAAUGAAUUGACUCUGGUGUAAUUUCUAGUAAUAGGGAUAAUGUUUUGUAUCCCCGAAACUAUUCCUAUAAUAGUUUACUAGAAUGUAAUUGAUGAGUGUCCAAGUAGGUUUAUACACCCUUGCUACCCAAGAGUGCCGGAACUGGAUUAACUGAUGGAACAUUUAUGACUAUAUAUGUACAUAUGAUAUAUAACUAAUAUUUAAACGACCUUCGGACGAGUACCCGAUAUCCCAUCAGACCACAUCCAAAUCGAGGAAAAGGAAACAGGGUGGAUAGUCUUCCUAAGUCUUUUAAACAUUUCUUAUAUAACUAUACUUAUAGAGGCAUGCAAUUUAUAAUAUAAAAGCAUAAAAGAAGUUUUGUAAAACCUUUGAAAAGUUUAAUAAAUAAGAAUUU